AACGAACGCUGGCGGCGCGUCUUAAACAUGCAAGUCGAACGGCAGGAAGGGGCUUGCCCCUUCUGAGAGUGGCGGACUGGUGAGUAACACGUGGGUGACAUACCUUUUAGUUGGGGAUAGCUAUUAGAAAUAGUAGGUAAUACCGAAUGUGACCGUACCUGUUAGAGGGGUACGAGGAAAGGAGCUAAGGCUUCGCUAAAAGAAUGGCUCGCGGCCCAUUAUGCUCGUUGGUGAGGUAACGGCCCACCAAGGCGAUGAUGGGUAUCCGGCCUGAGAGGGUGAACGGACACAUUGGGACUGAGAUACGGCCCAGACUUCUACGGGAGGCAGCAGUGAAGAAUAUUCCGCAAUGGACGAAAGUCUGACGGAGCGACGCCGCGUGGAUGAAGAAUGCCGAAAGGUUGUAAAAUCCUUUUAAGCCUGAUGAAUAAGCACAGUAGGGAAUGAUUGUGCGGUGACCGUAGGGCUUGAAUAAGCACCGGCUAAUUACGUG
rnacentral:rRNA from 1 species